CUACGGGCGGCUGCAGUCGAGAAUCUUCCGCAAUGGACGCAAGUCUGACGGAGCGAUGUCGCGUGAUUGAUGAAGUCUUUCGGGAUGUAAAGAUCUUUUCUCAAGGAGGAAGUUUAUUGACGUUACUUGAGGAAUAAGGGGUUGCUAAACUCGUGCCAGCAGCAGCGGUAAUACGAGUGCCCCAAGCGUUAUCCGGAAUUAUUGGGCGUAAAGGGUCCGCAGGCGGUCCUAUUAGUCUUGUGUGAAAUCUCCCGGCGCAACUGGGAACACGCACAGGAAACGGUAGGACUAGAGGAUGUGAGAGGUAUGUGGAACUCAUGGUGUAGGGGUGAAAUCCGUUGAUAUCAUGGGGAACACCAAAAGCGAAGGCAGCAUACUGGCACAUUCCUGACGCUCAGGGACGAAAGCACGGGUAGCGAAUGGGAUUAGAUACCCUUGUAAUC
rnacentral:rRNA from 1 species